rnacentral:lncRNA from 1 species
AUCACUGCAGCAAAAGGUAUCUCUAAAAUAAUUGAAGACAAUUGAAACCUAAUGUCAACGAACUAGCCAAUGAGCUCAAACUCCACAAAUCACCACCUCGACAUUCUAUCUUGGGACCAUUUCUUUCUCUCUUUACUUUACCUCUCUCUAUAUAACUUGAAAUUGAGAUAUCUAACAAUUUACAAUGGUGAGAGACAAGAAAAAUAAGAUACAUGUAUCACAUACAUAGAGUAAUGAUUAAAUACGUUUUGUGGAGUUUAACCUUAUUUCUGCGGCAAUGGUGGUAGUUUAAUAUUUCAUAUUGUGCUCAUCAUGAUGCUAUCUAAACAGUCUUAAUGCCCAACUAUCUACUUAUUGCAAUCUUCACGGCGAUUUACCUGUGAAAUUUAGAAAAAGGAAAGGAAAAAUAAAUAUAAAGAAACUUUUAAGUGGAAAGUGACACUACAAUGAGACCUGCAAAAACUCGACAAGUUUGAAAUAAACAACUAAAAAGAAUCCACACACAGAACAAUAAACCUUUACAAAGAAAAAACCAACAACUUUGUGCCACUAAAUCUAUAGAGUGUCAAUAAUGUUGCUGUACGGAAAGGGAUUCACUUGGGGUCUACAUGAAAUUCAUGGUGUUCUUUGAUGAUGCAUUGAUUCUCUAGAACAAGAAAUAGGAGAUACAUCAUUCAUAUUAACCGAUAUACUCUGAAUUUUUAAUACGAAAACUAGACUAAAAUGCUCUGUUAUCAAUGUGUCUAAUAUAGAAGAAAGUAUAUCUUACUUACAUGAGAAGAAAAAUGUUUCUCCUGUGUAUUUGUCCACUAGAGCGACCAAGGUAUUGUGAGCUACGAUUACAAUAACAAAGGUGAAUUAGCCAAUGCCCCCAAUAAUUGGGACAAUGUAAUCAUGAAAAUAUAAAAAAAACAAUAAAGCAAACAGAAAAUAGAAUGUAACAAUGAACAAUUAAAGGUUGCUUCUUUAGUCAUGAAAAAGGAGUAAUAAUGUUUAGGCCACUGGUUUUCAUUGCACACAAAAGUCACAUAAGACAGAUACACGACGAAGGGUAGUUAUUCACUGCAAAUCUAUUGACAUAAUUGGUUACUGUAAACUUUUUGCUCUCAUAGACUCCUUUGAGUCAUUAUAUCCUAAGACUCUACUUGUUGGAUGGUAGCCACUUAAUGUUACUAAAAAAGAAAGUAAAAGUAGAAGAAAGAAUGAAACAUAUCAGUCUACAAUUUCAACACUCUCCUAUUCCAAUAAGCAAUAUCAAUACCUUUUCAUUUAUAUUUAUUCGUAAUGCCUCCUUUGUUCAAACUGUCACUCCACAUUACCAUCUUCUUCAGCCUUUGCUUCCAUUUUUCCCGACUAUGUAGGCGAGGCCCCUACAUCUUUCAAUCACACAAAAAACAGAACAUGACGUUAUUGGAAGAAACAACACAUACCCACAAGUUAACACUAUACAUACAUCAUAUCUUCUAUGUUUAUUUAUUGCAAGUAGCACAAAGUGGUAUCUAUUUUUCUGCACAUCUUUUUAUGAAUUUUCCUUUUUUAUGAUAAUUCUGAGCAAAGAACACAUAUCACCUCCAACUAAGAUCUAAUUUACUGGAGAAGAAAAAUCAUGAUAAGGCCUUACUUGGUCUAUCAGGACCACCAAUAAGAACAUCAAACUUUUAUAUGCCCUGUUCAAUAUGUCAUGCUGAAAGUUGAGAUUUCUGUAGUACUGAGAUAACGCAAAGCGGUUCCACAUGCAGCUGUGGUACUUUUUUCCUUUCUUAAGCAAUUUACGGCAAGAGAGGAUACACAUGAACGUCACCAGGGAGACCUAAAAUAUGUAUACACAACACGAUUAUUUUCUCUCUUAAGAUCAUGAAAAAAGGAAUGCUAGGUUACAACAUGUGUUUAGGACAGCUCUGUAUCCAUCCUGCAAAGAAGAGUAGCCGAUGCUGAUGUUUGGUCCUAAGGGGUAACUUACUUCCAAGCUUUAUAGUCAAAUUUAUAUAUACUGCAAGAACUGACAGGAUCAAGUGAUGCAAAAUGGUCCCAAUAAGCAUGAUCCAAUAGAGUUUACCAGUGUAGAGGGUGGUGGGCAAGAUUGUCUUCUCUUAAACUGAGCUCAAGUACCAUGAGACCCAAGUAGGGGCCCUAGUGUACAUGCUCUGACAAUAAACUUAGCCAAAAGACAAAAUAAUAACAAGUAAUAACUAUGCAGUAAAAUAAAGUUUUUACCUAUUAUGCAGUAAAUCUUGGCAGGGAGAGAAUGUAUGUACCCGCGAUGUGAAUUACUAACCUACCAUAAAAAAGAUGAGAAAUAGAAGUUAGAAAUACUUUUCUAGUAACUUUCACACUAUAUAAUAUGCAAGAAAUUAAUUAAAAACGUCACAAAGAUAUCUUAAUUUGCAGCAAGAGACAAAAAGUAAUGGCAAUCCAGCUAUAUAGUGAACACAAGUAUAUGACUGUACCGCCUAAAACCUUUCCUUUAAAUUCCCCUUUCUACCUCUUUUUUUUUUUCCCUCAGAGUAGUACUCUAAACCUCAAGUUUACCUCUACUUCUCUUAUACCAUUCCGCCUCUUAUUCU